CCCAAAUGCCAAACUAGUAGUUCUGUACCAGUAUUGUAGAGAGGCAGAUGUAGACUCCUUAGAAGAAAAAAACUUUCUAACAAUUACUAGAAAUGACUGCCUUAAGAAGUAUUGGGUUUCCUCUUACUAGAAGUCUUCAGGCAGAGGAUGAAUGAGGGGAUUCUUGAUAAUGUGAAGAUUGGAGUAAAUGGCCUCUGAGGCCCCUUCUAACUCUCACAUUCUGGUAUUCUAUAUUCCAAUGAACUUUUAAAAAUAUUUAUUGCGAGCCUACCAAAGCAGUAGUCAGAAUCUUUGUGUGUGUUCGUUUCCUAGCCUGUAAAAUUAGAAGCUUGAGCUCAAUUAUACCUAAGGCAUCUUCUGAGGACAUAUAGCAUGCUUACCAAAAUUGCAGAUGACUUGAAACUGGAAAGAAAGCUGGAUUGGAUUACAGACAACUUGGAACAGUGGACUGAAGCAAAGAAGCAGGAGCAGGAGUAGCAGGAACUCUUGGGUCAGCAGCUCAGGGUGCAGGAGAAUCUCUGAGCCUGGGCAACUGUGACCUCUGGCAUCCCCAGCCAUGAUCAUCUCCUGGAGACCCCAGCUGGCCACCCACAAUGCCCGAAUAAAAUAGGAGAAGAAAGGAGUUCAGUAAAACCAACUAAUACAUCACCUGAAUCUGACACCUCUGAAGAACUAAAGAUAAGUGUGAACCAAAGGGCAAUGGAAAGGUACCCAGUGGGCAUGACAUGGAGAUGGUAACCUACAACCAAUCAAGAGAAAUAAAGGACAUCAUCAGAGAAUUACCUGGCA
rnacentral:lncRNA from 1 species